UGUGAAUGAUGACGCUUAAAUUGCUGUGAAACUCUGAACUCACCCUGUGGAGAGCUAUCUUGGAGAGCUGAACACU